rnacentral:lncRNA from 1 species
UUCGAAUACAACACAUUCAUGGCAGUGGAAGGGCAGUGCAGGGCGCUUCUAGAGGUGCUAAGUUGCAUUUUAAAUAAGCGGGAGGAGUUCUCUAACAAGGGACUUCCCGAACCGGCCGCUGACUCGCAACUUUCCCUGUAGCUCUCAGACUCCUGUCGUUCUUCCCCACUCCGCGUGUGCAGACGGCUGAUCGCAGUGGUAGAAACGGCCAUCCUGCAACGGCACUUGCUGGAUCACAGGCACGCAGCAAAGCGCUUCGAGGCAGACACUGUGGUAGCCCCUUCAUCAGGGGCAACGAGGGGAGAGACUGGGUCCUCUGAGUGACCUCAUCACCACCAACAGAAAAACAAGGAAACUAGCAGGCGUUGGCUCAUAGAGACAGCAUUACUUUUAUGCCUCGAGACAGCACAUUCAUGGGGCGAUUUCAUCUUGGCAUUGCUGUUUGGUAACCAAACAGUGGCUCUGCCUCUGUGUCGCCUUGGAACUGCUUGGGAAAACAGAAUUCUUUUCUUUGGAAUUCUCUGCUCUUCGUACACACACACACACACACACACACACUCACACACACAUACACACACUCACACACACACACUUUCCCUCCACACAAAAUCAAAUACAUGACUUUAUACUGAGUUAGAAUUUAUUUUUCCUUACAUCAAAUGCCAUAGGUAUGUUAAAUGUUUCAGGAAAGAUAUGGGUGGCUUAGCAGCUUCAAAGGACUGUGUGUAGGGAGAAGGCAUUUUAACCUCCAGGGAAGCAAGACUGUGCCUUAGAACAGUGUGGUUACAGUGGUCACUUAAAACAGCGGAGGCAGCAGAGCCCCUGCAUCCUGAACCUCUGCUGCCCUGGUGCACACUAGCCUGGCUUUCACUCAGGCUUUCUCUAAGCAGUGACACCUGCUUUGCCCAUGAAUGAAGCAAACCUGACAUUCAGGAAAUUCACAUCUAUCAGAGGAACUCCGAACCAAUGACAGACCAUUGGUGUGUAGACUGAAUACCCGUGCUUCCUGAAAUAAAACCCGCAGUGACUUUACUAAAGCACAAUGGUUUAUUAUCUCUCACAGUUCUGUAGGUCAGAAAUUCGGGAAGGCUGGGCUGUUUAGUCUUCAGUUGGGAGCCAGAGGAUUGGAAAGCUUGAGGAGGUGUCCCUCUACCUUCUGGGACUUGGGUGUUCUGUGAGGGGGCCUCUUGCUUCCCACAUGGCAAGGAAGUCUAGAUUCUUCACAAGGUGGCAACUGGCCUCCUCAGAGAGCACAGAUGUGAAGUGUCCAAGAGACUGGUGACCUCUCUUCCACCAUCUUCCUCUGAUCAGAGAACAGCCUGGGGGCCUUGGUCCGGGGAAGGAGGAGGAGACCCCACUUUUUGUGAUGAGAAACAGCUGGCCUGUGCCUCCUGUGGGGAGCAGUGGUG